CAUGAAUACUGUAUCUAGCUAUAAGGACAUUAUGUUACACUAAGCUGUCUCAGGGCUAAGUCCACAACACUAUCAGGUCUCGUGACGGACAGUGAGGUUAUAGUGCUGAGGCUGCAAAACGGCACGGAAGCUCACGUUCCUCUUUCCUGAAACCACGUCGGCCUCAUCAGACCUCCUUGACAAGAAAGAUAGUCUCCUACUGUUUACUGACGGAAGCACAGCCAAACAACAUAAGAUGACGGCUAUCGUGAACCCACGGUGGCCUAAUGGCCUGGAAAGAUUCCAGCCAACACCACAAGUGGCGGCCUGAGACAUGAGAGUUGACAUGCAGACUGUAAGUGGAAGGUUGAUGUAAAUGUUUAUGUGUCUGUGGUCUGUUGUGUCUGUGGUCUGUCAGUGGUCUGGACAUCUUCCCCACCCUCCUUUCACUCGCUGGUGUAGAUCCGCCCAAAGACAGGAAAAUCGAUAUGCUGGACAUUCUGCCGGGAAAGACAGACACAGGUCGAAAGAGCGUCUUCUCAUCCAAACAGUGUUGCUGUGGACAAACCUGGAGAGCUACAGUUUACAGUGAAAUCAUAUGCCAGCCUCUCUUAGGGUCGUGGUGGUGUUUUCUUUUAAAUGAGCCAUUAUUGAAUUCCCUCACAAUACUUUUUAACAUUAUCACGGCUCCCAAAGUUUUUGUGCUACCUCCUUACU